rnacentral:lncRNA from 1 species
GAGAUCUGCCUGCUGCAUCUAGAGGAGAUCUGCCUGCUGCAUCCAGAGAAGAGGAGGUUUGGAGCUUGGGUAUGGCUUCUCUAUGAUUCUGCGUUUGGUGAUCAGAAACUUGGUGUUUCCAAGCUGUUCAACUGAGGAAUAGGCCUUAGACCAGGUGAGUAGGUAACUCAUUCCCUCGUCGUGAACUGGCUGAGGUCCUCCUGAGAUCCUCACCCUCAUACCUUCAACCUCAGGCCAUGGAGAGCUCCCACUGCCAGAAGCCAGGCUUUCUCUGUGGGUUCUGGAUCAUGUGGUACUUCCAAGUAUUCUGGCUUGAAGCCUGAGUCACUGGGGUGCCUUGGCCGAGGCAUGAAAUUAGGGCUAUCUUCUACGAAUCGUGGUUAAUGUAUCUAAGGGGUUUGAUCUCACUUGAGAGUAAAAUUUAACUGCACCAAACAAUAACUUAAGCAAAUGUGGUAUAGACAGGCGAUGCGAGGCUCAGAGAGUGGCUGGAGGAUGUCAGGGAGAACUCAGACUUGCUUCCUGAGUCACCGUCUAUAGUGAGUACCCUUAGACUUCGUUGCUAAAAUCUGCCCACCAGACCCUAGCCAUCACAUCAACAUUC